GUUUCGUCCGCCUUCGUCCAUCGUCGAUUAAGUUUUUUUUUCACGCGCAAUCGUCCCUGCCGAAAACGUCGGGAUGCAAUCCAAUCUAGCACCGAUCCACUCCGUCCUGACAGGCUCGGCGCUGCCUCCUCCCCUCCCAAGCACCGCCGCCACUACACACCCCAUCAGAGUACACCUCCCAUACUCCCUCUCUCUCUUGGAGCCGCCGCCCCGCUCCCCAUCCACCCGGCGUGCAUCGGAUCGACCUUGUUCCCUCUCCUUGCAACGUGGGAUAUGGAAGGGGCCGCCUGUCGGGCACCAAUCUGAUGGGGGCGUGGUCAUCUACCUCCUCCUCUCUCCCCACGUUGGUCCAGCCUGUCUUCUCUACCAGAUCUGGCGGCCGCGUCGGCGAAACUGCUGGCCGGUCGUCUUCGAGUCCGCCUACCACGGCGAUCCCGCAGUACAGCCUCCCCGCCUCCAAGAUGUGGCCUGGACAAGGCCGUCUUCUCCUUUCCUCCGUGGCGUCCAAUGAAGAGCUACACCACCGUGGCACCACAUGUGUGUUGUACCUUCGCCCCGCGGCCCUUCUGUGCUGGGAUGAGGCAGUGUUUGUCUGUAGCACUCCAUGUCCCACAUCAACAUUCCUUUCUUACUUAGUGUUGUACAAGUGAUGCAAUCAGGAUUUGCUGGUUUUUGAACAUAUCCCUGAUGGAGUGAAAGGGACGGAAGAAUUGGAAAUACAAUGAGGAUGGUGCAUGGAGAACAUGCUCUGUUGCCAUCUUCAUCCGCGAAUUGGCUCCCAAAUCUAAAAGGUGUGGCUGCCGAAACAUGAGUCUAACAAGGCGCGGCUGCUGAACCAGGAGAACCGCAGACCUGGUCACAAUGAACGAGUUUGAGACAAACCUUGUGUCAUGUGUUAUCGCACUCAGAUAUCGGAGCCUUGGAGAAUGUAAAAGAAAUGUUAAACGGGUAGAUGUUGCCCCUCUAAACUUACCUGAAUUGUUCAGCAAAGGUCCGCGAUUAAUGGUACCCAUGUACAUUCAGUAGGGCGAGUUGGUCUUGCUAUAUUGCAUUCAGGCAUAGUGUUGAUAUUUCAUCAAAAAUAAGUUCAAGCAUGAUAUUUAAGAUCAAUUCUGGAAGAAUGACCUGACACACCUGAACAUAAGAAAAACAUAAGGUGACUAAAAAAUACAUUGAACCAAAUGUGCCUGACUGAAUUUUAUUUGGAAUCGUACGUGUUAUUAUUCUUUGGAUGUGGCUGGCCAUUGCUAGCAUGCAUACAUGUAGCCACAUCUAUGUGAUAUGGUCAGUAUAUAUCUAUCAUGAGAAUAGUAUCUCAUGCAAUCAAGUCACAAUUGUUUAAAUUUCAAAAAGCCAAACUGAAGAACAAGCUGAAUACUGCUCCUUCCUCGCUCGCGUCGCUCCCAGGGGGGUGGCACGGGCGAUAACCUAGCCGCCGCCGCCCCCACUCCCCGCUCCUUCCUCGCUCCCCUGCCGCCGUCGGGGGAUGCCGACGGGCAAAUCUCGCUCGGCGGACGGCGGCGGCGGGGCCUCCUCGUCGUGUGGCGUGCGGCUUCGGCCCUGGACGGAGCUCCACUCCUGGUUGCGGCUGGGCGGCGGCGGGUCCUCUCGCCGGCGCAGGUAAGCCGGGGCGGCGGCCCCGGGCAAGGUGGCGGCGCUGCUCCUUCCGACUCUCUACUGAGGGUGUUCGGGGCGGUGCUACCGCCGCGGAUCUGACGACCGACGUCCGGAUCUGCCGGUGGUGGCACUCUGGCGUGCUGCUGUGCCGGCUGCUGGGCGUGCUGAGUGCUGGAGUCCCCUCCCUCGGCUGGGGGAGCUGCGGUGGUGGCGGAAAGCUGCAGUUUUUGGACGGCGGCACGCCGGUGCCGCGAUGGUGUUUAUGCUACGGUGGCUGUGGAGAUUGGUCUCCGUCCCUGUACUAGUGUGCUCAUCUUCUGCUUGUUCUGUAGCAGAGGGCUGGGCUUGAGGUAGUUGUGGCUGUGGCCGGAGGCCGGAGGCGUGAUGGCACGGCGUGGUGCUCCGUUGCAUCAUGCAGGUUUUGGGUCGUGGACUGGGCGGUGGAAGCCGGGGCGGCGGCUCCGGACGGUGGAAGUACGCCGAGGCGGCGGCCUCGGAUGGCGAUGCAACGACGGCUCUAUGGGGUAGGUUCGUGGCUCUGCAUGGCUUGGGCGGCGACUUGGUGCUACAAGGGUAGCGAGGUCGUCGGCCUGGUUGGACGCGGCCCGAG